rnacentral:tRNA from 1 species
GGUCCUGUAGCUCAGUGGUAAGAGCGAUGGUCUUAUGAGCCAUAGGCCGUGGGUUCGACCCCCGCCGGGACUA